rnacentral:rRNA from 1 species
AUGGAUUUAGCUUGUAGAACGGUGGAUCUGCUCCCGCUCUCACCAUUCAUCACGCACGGUAAGAGCAGAAGCCCUCGUUGGUCCCCUAUGGUUCCUGAUCUGGAGGUAGGUGAUCCGCCGCCCCCCAAAAAGCGCCACGAUGAUGAAGCAAUCCAGAGGAUCUCCACAUCCGUCCACACGCAGAUACUUUCCAAGGCCUCUCUUUUCAUUCCUCGUGGUGAAUUAGCUUCAGAUGAAGGUCUGGGUUCCGCCGGUGUAUAUGUUGUGGUCAUCAGUAGUACAAGUACGGGCAAGUUCAGCUCUUGCCCUUGCCAAGGCGAUACAGUGGAUCUCAGGACUGAUUGGCUUAGAGAAACUAUGGAAUCUGGUCUUGAUGUCGAUAGGAACUUGGCUGAAUCCUUUUCUUGGGCAGCGGCGCAUGGCCCUAACGCGCCUCGGGUGCUAUGA